rnacentral:rRNA from 1 species
AGAGUUUGAUCCUGGCUCAGGAUGAACGCUGGCGGCGUGCCUAAUACAUGCAAGUCGAGCGAACGGACGAGAAGCUUGCUUCUCUGAUGUUAGCGGCGGACGGGUGAGUAACACGUGGAUAACCUACCUAUAAGACUGGGAUAACUUCGGGAAACCGGAGCUAAUACCGGAUAAUAUUUUGAACCGCAUGGUUCAAAAGUGAAAGACGGUCUUGCUGUCACUUAUAGAUGGAUCCGCGCUGCAUUAGCUAGUUGGUAAGGUAACGGCUUACCAAGGCAACGAUGCAUAGCCGACCUGAGAGGGUGAUCGGCCACACUGGAACUGAGACACGGUCCAGACUCCUACGGGAGGCAGCAGUAGGGAAUCUUCCGCAAUGGGCGAAAGCCUGACGGAGCAACGCCGCGUGAGUGAUGAAGGUCUUCGGAUCGUAAAACUCUGUUAUUAGGGAAGAACAUAUGUGUAAGUAACUGUGCACAUCUUGACGGUACCUAAUCAGAAAGCCACGGCUAACUACGUGCCAGCAGCCGCGGUAAUACGUAGGUGGCAAGCGUUAUCCGGAAUUAUUGGGCGUAAAGCGCGCGUAGGCGGUUUUUUAAGUCUGAUGUGAAAGCCCACGGCUCAACCGUGGAGGGUCAUUGGAAACUGGAAAACUUGAGUGCAGAAGAGGAAAGUGGAAUUCCAUGUGUAGCGGUGAAAUGCGCAGAGAUAUGGAGGAACACCAGUGGCGAAGGCGACUUUCUGGUCUGUAACUGACGCUGAUGUGCGAAAGCGUGGGGAUCAAACAGGAUUAGAUGCCCUGGUAGUCCACGCCGUAAACGAUGAGUGCUAAGUGUUAGGGGGUUUCCGCCCCUUAGUGCUGCAGCUAACGCAUUAAGCACUCCGCCUGGGGAGUACGACCGCAAGGUUGAAACUCAAAGGAAUUGACGGGGACCCGCACAAGCGGUGGAGCAUGUGGUUUAAUUCGAAGCAACGCGAAGAACCUUACCAAAUCUUGACAUCCUUUGACAACUCUAGAGAUAGAGCCUUCCCCUUCGGGGGACAAAGUGACAGGUGGUGCAUGGUUGUCGUCAGCUCGUGUCGUGAGAUGUUGGGUUAAGUCCCGCAACGAGCGCAACCCUUAAGCUUAGUUGCCAUCAUUAAGUUGGGCACUCUAAGUUGACUGCCGGUGACAAACCGGAGGAAGGUGGGGAUGACGUCAAAUCAUCAUGCCCCUUAUGAUUUGGGCUACACACGUGCUACAAUGGACAAUACAAAGGGCAGCGAAACCGCGAGGUCAAGCAAAUCCCAUAAAGUUGUUCUCAGUUCGGAUUGUAGUCUGCAACUCGACUACAUGAAGCUGGAAUCGCUAGUAAUCGUAGAUCAGCAUGCUACGGUGAAUACGUUCCCGGGUCUUGUACACACCGCCCGUCACACCACGAGAGUUUGUAACACCCGAAGCCGGUGGAGUAACCUUUUAGGAGCUAGCCGUCGAAGGUGGGACAAAUGAUUGGGGUGAAGUCGUAACAAGGUAGCCGUAUCGGAAGGUGCGGCUGGAUCACCU